GGGAAACUGAGGCUAAUACUGGAUACGACUCGAUGCCUGGAAUGGCUCGAGCUGGAAAGGUCCGCCACCACAGGAUGUGGCUGCGGCCGAUUAGGUAGACGGUGGGGUAACGGCCCACCGUGCCUAUAAUCGGUACGGGUCAUGAGAGUGAGUGCCCGGAGAUGGUCUCUGAGACAAGAGUCCAGGCCCUACGGGGCGCAGCAGGCGCGAAACCUUUACACUGCACGACAGUGCGAUAAGGGGACCCCAAGUGCGAGGGCAUAUAGUCCUCGCUUUUCUGGAGGGUAAGGACCUGCAGGAACAAGUGCUGGGCAAGACCGGUGCCAGCCGCCGCGGUAAUACCGGCAGCACGAGUGAUGGCCGAUGUUAUUGGGCCUAAAGCGUCCGUAGCCUGCCAAUCAGGUUCGUCGGGAAAUCCACGCGCUCAACGUGUGGGCGUCCGGCGAAUACCGAUUGGCUUGGGACCGGAGGACCCGAGGGGUACGUCCGGGGUAGGAGUGAAAUCCUGUAAUCCCGGACGGACCACCGGUGGCGAAAGCGCCUCGGGAGGACGGAUCCGACGGUGAGGGACGAAAGCUGGGGUCACGAACCGGAUUAGAUACCCGGGUAGUCCCAGCCGUAAACG
rnacentral:rRNA from 1 species